GCCAGGGGGCGGCUGGAAGCCCUGGGAGCACAUCUACUCGCUGUGCAAGGUGGUGAAGGGACACGUGCCUCUUUACAACAUCUACGGGAAGUACGUGGUCAAACUCUACUGGAUGGGGAGCUGGAGGAAGGUCAUCGUGGACGAUGUCUUACCGUUUGACCAGGACAACAACCUGCUGCUUCCUGCCACCACCAACCAAUCAGAGCUGUGGCCCAUGCUGCUGACCAAGGCCCUUAUUAAACUGGCCAACACAGAUGUGGUGUCAGAGCAGAGGAAGGAGCUGGGAGAGUUCACGGUCAUCCAUGCACUGACUGGCUGGGAUCCCUGAAGUCAUCCCUCUACAGUGCAGGCUUUUGGGGCAUGUGUGGGAGUUCCUGAAGAAGAGCAUUCCCACGUUCCAGUACGCCGACGACAGUCCUGAGGAGAAGCCUCUGCCGGUGGAGUCCACGGCGGAGAGGGAGGCCCAACUCAACGACAGCAAGAGCGAGUCUCCCCCGACAGCCAGG